AGUGGCCGAACACUCUAAGGGGGAGGGAGGAAAAUUCCUUUUUCGAAAACUUGUCCUUUCGCGCUAGAUUAUCGUACCUCGGAGUAUGUAUUACUUCGGGUAACCUUAGUGAGUAUUGAUAGCUUAGUUUCCGAUAGAUUUUGAUAGAAUUCUGUGGUUUUACUUUAAAGGUUCAUGUGAAGAGUUUCACGAGGAGCAAGGCUUUGCUUGUGAAGAGGAGUUAGAAGAUCACCCUGGAGAAUCUGCAGGUACUGGAGGUAGAGAUGUUGCUCAUGAGGAGUAGCUUCGAAGAGUCUUAGUUUAUGAUAUUAUUAUUCUCAUAAUAAAAUAAAGUGUCUUGCUCUGUAAUGUAACAAUGGGUAGAUAUUUUACGUUACUUUUGCUUUUCUGUUGAGAGGAUUUUAUAACCUCUACUUAUGGAAGUUGUUGAAUAAUUUUCUAAAUUAUGGCGAUGUUGUAUUGUUGAUGGCCGAAGUGCUUAUGGAAUUCUUUUCGUAGUAUGAUGGAUUUUAUUGGAAUAACAUGGAAGAUAAACCUAUUUAAAUAGGAGAUUAUAUGCA